rnacentral:piRNA from 1 species
UGGCAAGAAGGGUAGAGGCAUCACUCCU